CAGUCUGACUAUGAGAAAACAAGAUGAACUAUUAAAUGAAAUUGUUGAUUUCCAUUUGGAAAAACACCAUAUUUCUCUGUGGCCAGUGCUCUGAUUUGAUUUAUUUUGUAGGCCAGAAUAAGGGAGUUACUAGAAGAUCUGCAUUCUUGUCUUGCUUACUUUUAAACUGAUUUUUAAAAAGCACCAACAUAUAGGAACAUAUUUUGAGAAGAAUUUCAGUUCAGGAUACAGUGUUUUCACACAGGAGUGGACAAAAGGAUUCUUCAAUUACAUAUUCACUUUCUGUUCCAUCUGUGUAUUCGCAGUGCUGAUAAAUCAAGGAUCUCUUCAGGUCACAAUUGAGGGUGUUAUUGGUGGCUCUGCUCUCCUGCCAUGUUCUUCAACUAAAAAUGAUUUUAAAACACAGGACAUUAUUGUGCACUGCAGAUACAACGACAAUGAAAAGGUGUUUGACAUUGUUGAGGGUAAAGAUUCACUUGAGGAGCAAAACCAGCAGUACAAGAACAGAGUUGAAACUUUCACUGAUGAGUAUCUGAGAGGAAACUUCUCCAUCAAACUAAGCAAUCUUCAACAGACUGAUGCUGGAAAAUACAUCUGUUACAUCUCUCAUACAUCUGAACAGCAAACUUUGAAGCUGAUCAUCAAAGCUAAUGAAGGAGCCACGAAGGAAAACCUACAAAACCAUGGAGAAGGAAAAGGUCUAGAUGUGACUUUGUGCUGGCUUUGCGCUGUAGCAGCUGUAGUACUGUACUUAUAUUGAUCAUCUUUAUAUUUCAUUUUAAGAAAAAAGAAUUACAUCUGUUUUGUUCUUUUAAAGAACAAAGGAUUGUGACUGUUCCAGGUGUGUUUUGUG